GACGAACGCUGGCGGCGUGCUUAACACAUGCAAGUCGAACGAAGAGCGAUGGAAGCUUGCUUCUAUCAAUCUUAGUGGCGAACGGGUGAGUAACGCGUAAUCAACCUGCCCUUCAGAGGGGGACAACAGUUGGAAACGACUGCUAAUACCGCAUACGAUCUGACCUCGGCAUCUAGGAUAGAUGAAAGGUGGCCUCUACAUGUAAGCUAUCACUGAAGGAGGGGAUUGCGUCUGAUUAGCUAGUUGGAGGGGUAACGGCCCACCAAGGCGAUGAUCAGUAGCCGGUCUGAGAGGAUGAAAGGCCACAUUGGGACUGAGACACGGCCCAGACUACUACGGGAGGCAGCAGUGGGGAAUCUUCCGAAAUGGAAGAAAGUCUGACGGAGCAACGCCGCGUGAGUGAUGACGGCCUUCGGGUUGUAAAGCUCUGUUAAUCGGGACGAAAGGCCUUUUUGCGAAUAGGGAGAAGGAUUGACGGUACCGGAAUAGAAAGCCACGGCUAACUACGUG
rnacentral:rRNA from 1 species